rnacentral:lncRNA from 1 species
AAGGAAAAUGCCAGGUUCUGUAUUGGGAUGGAGAAAUGCUGGACACUGAAUAUUGUGUGCAGUUCUGGGCUUCACUAUACAAAAGGGAAAUCAUCAACACUUCUGAGUAAAAGUAAAUAUUGAAAUGCUGCAAUUUUCUUUAGAAGAGCCAGUCAAAUAUUUACUGUUGUAUAUAGCGCCCUGUUUUCCAUUACUUGCCAGAGUAUCUUGUUUAUUGAAUGCUUCAAUUGUACAUCGAGGAAGGUGAUUUUGUGUUCUGGUUCCAUGGAAAUAAAUAGGAAGCUUUACUUUUGGAGCAACCUGCAUACGUGGUCAAUCUUUACUGGAUUUAAUUGAAGCAGAAGCCUCUCAGAAUGGU